UAGGUUGCUAAGAUAUUCCUGUGCCUGUC
rnacentral:piRNA from 1 species